GUGUUUGUGACCGUGGCGCCGCGGGCCUGUCUGUGUCUGUGUGGCUCUACGCCUCUGUGAGAGUAACCCUCACUUAUUGAAAAAUACACCUGAACAAGUGCAUUCUAAGAUAUAGUUAAGCAUUAAGUGCAUAAAGUGGAUGAGGUUUAGAAGUGAGAUAGUGCGUGAGAGUCUGAGAAAUUAAUAAUAAAAGUCGUUCUCCCGUGCGGGUGGAAUACACUACCUAACUGUGGAUGGGAUAACAUACCUAAGGACAUGGAUUAUACUCUGUCUCCUCACUGAGCCAGGUGAGAGCCUCGUGCGUGCGUGCGUGCGUGGGUGACGUGCAGAAAUGCCAGCAGGUGUGUACUAGUGUUACCUGAGGCUGUGGUGGUGAUGGUGGUGGUAGUGGUGUCACUGUCCCACCUUAGCCGCCCCGUGACCUCAUUGAUUAAGACGUGACAACAGGUGAGGCCAGACCAGGUGAGAGCACGCACACACACACACACACACACACACACACACACACACACACACACACAGAAAUAGACACAUUAAUUAAGGUGGAAAACUUUGGGUGAUGACUGAAAUAGAGAGGGAUGAUGAUGAUGAUGAUGAUGAUGAUGAUGAUGAUGAUGAUGAUGCAGGAAAUUCAAAAUAAAAGAUGAAGGGAGUUUAAUGUAAAAGGUGAACUGAAGGAGAGAGAGAGAGAGAGAGAGAGAGAGAGAGAGAGAGAGAGAGAGAGAGAGAGAGAGAGAGAGAGAGAGAGAGAGAGUAGUUGGUGUUGGAAGAAUUAGUUCGUUUGUUGACAUGGAUCAGCUGUUUGCAAGAGGGGACACACACACACACACACACACACACACACACACACACACACACACACACACACACACACACACACACACACACACACACACACACACACACACACACUCACAGAAAGAGAGAGAGAGAGAGAGAGAGAGAGAGAGAGAGAGAGAGAGAGAGAGAGAGAGAGAGAGAGAGAGAUGUACAUGUAGAAAAUUAUUAUAUACCAGUAGAGUUACACACACACACACACACACACACACACACACACACACACACACACACACACACACACACACACACACACACACACACACACACACACACGUGCUCACCACCACACUCAAGGGAUCAACGCACUUGUCUCCAUGGCUGCAGCUCACGUCCCAUUGGUGGUGAGUGUGGUGGUGAUGGUGGUGCGGUGAGGGAUGCUAAGUAUUUCUCGGCUUUGCGCCAUCAUCAUUCACCAUCACCACCAACACCACCACCACCAUCAACAACAACAACAACAACAACAACAACAACAACAAAAACAGUAAUAUCAAAGAUAAUAACUACUACUACUACUACUACUACUACUACUACUACUACUACUACUACUACUACUACUACUACUAACAACAACAACAACAACAACAAUUGCAACAAGUCACCACCACCAACAUUACCUUUAAAAAAAACAUUUCUCAACACGAAUCAUCACAAUAAACAUCACUUAGAGAGAGAGAGAGAGAGAGAGAGAGAGAGAGAGAGAGAGAGAGAGAGAGAGAGAGAGAGAGAGAGAGAGAGAUCGGGCAUGGCAUUUUUGUGCUUUUAUAUUUAGA